UCUCUUUUUUUGUAUCCUUUUCCCAUGACUUCUUUACUGUCUCUUCCCCAAUCAGUAUUUCAUUAUCUAUCUAUGACUAUCUGUCUGUAACAUCCAUCUAUCUAUGACUCAAUCCUGGGCUGAACUAUAUACUCACCACAUAGAUUCUGCAAUUAAUAUUCUGCUGUAUUUGUUUUUUGUAUAUGUCUAUCUACGCUUGUAUACAUCCAUCGAUCCAUCUUAUUUUUUGAUGCUUUUCAAAUAAGUGGCAGGCAUCAGUACUCUUCACCUCUACGGUGAAUUUUGACAAAUGCGUACAAUCAUUAUCCCUGAAGGUGUCCUUAGGCCCCUUCCUAGUUAAGUCUACCCCCAAACCCCAAGGUGAACACUAUUCUGAUUUUUUCCCACCAUAGAUUAGUUUUGCCUGUUUUAGAACUUCAUAUAAAUGAAAUUGUACACGGUGUAAUCUUUUGUGUUCAGCUUCUUUCAUUAGCAAAAUAUUUUCGAGCACCUGUGUUGUUGUAAGGGUCCUCAUUUUAAAACUAAUAAUUUGACAAGAUCUUUGCAAACUGAUCUUUACCUUAAAAAGCUGGACUUCUCUGAUGUGUACAUAAAUAUAGUAACCACUUUUAAAUUAAAUAGCCUAAAUACAGUAGCCACUUGAACUAAGCCUCUGAAACAGACAUCUCUUUCAUGUGUCUGUCAGACCUUGUCUUUUUGUUUUCAUGCUCCCCACAUCCCCCUACCUUGUUUAGCAUUGAUAAAUAUUUCAAAACUGCAGAGGAAAUUUAUCGUAUUUGUCUCAUGGGCACAGAGCUUUUGAUUUACUGUGUUCAGUAAGAUGUAGGGGGCUAACCAAGCUCUUAGGAUUAACUGCAUCUGACUGUCCUUCAAAAGGUCAUCAGCAGUACAUCCUUAGUAGGCCUCACAAUAAUGUGUCCACACUACAGGUUAGUGGGAGUGAUUGAAAGGCUUGACGAGUUGUCCUGGAUUUGCUCUGGUGGGGCGAUCAGAGUCCAUAGCACUGGGUGGGAAAACAUGAAAGAAAAUAAGUGAAAGUGACGUAUUCCUCCAGAAUAGCUAAAGGUCAGUGCUCACCCCAUUCAGCCACUGUAUUCCCUAGACUUAGCAUGACGCGGUUGUUUCUAAAAAUUAACGCCACACUUAGCGUGGUAAUGUGGCUUUGUACUAAGGCCACCUAGCUAAGCCGGAACUACGUUUCCCAGAAUUCCCUUGCCUGUAGGUUUCCGGGGUUAGCGCAGGCCACGUGACCUGAUGCGUGCUUUGUGAGGCGGAAGUGAUGCAGCGUUGUCGUCUCGUAGGCUUGAAAGUUUGGUUCCAGGAUCUACACUCCUCCACCAUAGUCAGGAGAUUCAGGAAAAGCUGGCAGGGUUCAGCUUUCAAGUUGACCCUUGACGAACCAUGGCCAAUCCUGCUAAGAGUCAUGAAAGUCAAUCCUAACCAAUGAGACCGAGGAGAAAUCACUGAAGAACUUGUGGAAAACAGGCCCUCUGGAUAAAGAGAAAUGUGUGGGGAAAAAGGAUUUUUUUAAUGUUAUUCUGGAUGUUUCCCAAAAGUACUGCUGCUGCCUUGCCUUUCUGACAGACACUGGCUUUGGAUGACAUGCCGCAAGAAGGAAGGACGGAUCUGGGGUUUUUGAAGACUCACUGAGAUGCGCAAGGAACCAACCCUGAAGUAGCCAACUCAUUCCUGUUUGCAUGUGUUGACUGAAAAGAAUCAAAAUAAACAAAAUAUAACUUUA